rnacentral:rRNA from 1 species
AUUGAACGCUGGCGGCAUGCCUUACACAUGCAAGUCGAAUGGCAGCACGGGAGCAAUCCUGGUGGCGAGUGGCGAACGGGUGAGUAAAGUAUCGGAACGUGCCCAGUCGUGGGGGAUAACGUAGCGAAAGUUACGCUAAUACCGCAUACGAUCUAUGGAUGAAAGCGGGGGAUCGCAAGACCUCGCGCGACUGGAGCGGCCGAUAUCAGAUUAGGUAGUUGGUGGGGUAAAGGCUCACCAAGCCGACGAUCUGUAGCUGGUCUGAGAGGACGACCAGCCACACUGGAACUGAGACACGGCCCAGACUCCUACGGGAGGCAGCAGUGGGGAAUUUUGGACAAUGGGCGCAAGCCUGAUCCAGCCAUGCCGCGUGCAGGAUGAAGGCCUUCGGGUUGUAAACUGCUUUUGUACGGAACGAAAAGGUUUGGCUUAAUACGUUGAACUCAUGACGGUACCGUAAGAAUAAGCACCGGCUAACUACGUGCCAGCAGCCGCAGUAA